rnacentral:rRNA from 1 species
UACGUAGGGUGCGAGCGUUGUCCGGAAUUAUUGGGCGUAAGGGGCUCGUAGGCGGUUUGUCGCGUCGGGAGUGAAAACCUUGGGCUUAACUCAGGGCUUGCUUUCGAUACGGGCAGACUAGAGGUAUGCAGGGGAGAACGGAAUUCCUGGUGUAGCGGUGAAAUGCGCAGAUAUCAGGAGGAACACCGGUGGCGAAGGCGGCAUCCUGGACCGGCAUUGACGCUGAGGAGCGAAAGCUAGGGGAGCAAACGGG